rnacentral:rRNA from 1 species
UACAGAGGUCCCAAGCGUUGUUCGGAUUCAUUGGGCGUAAAGGGUGCGUAGGUGGCGCCGUAAGUCGGGUGUGAAAUUUCGGAGCUUAACUCCGAAACUGCAUUCGAUACUGCGGUGCUUGAGGACUGGAGAGGAGACUGGAAUUCAUGGUGUAGCGGUGAAAUGCGUAGAGAUCGUAAGGAAGACCAGUGGCGAAGGCGGGUCUCUGGACAGUUCCUGACGCUGAGGCACGAAGGCCAGGGGAGCAAACGGG